rnacentral:rRNA from 1 species
AGGACGAACGCUGGCGGCGUGCUUAACACAUGCAAGUCGAACGGAAAGGCCCUUUCGGGGGUGCUCGAGUGGCGAACGGGUGAGUAACACGUGGGUGAUCUGCCCUGCACUUUGGGAUAAGCCUGGGAAACUGGGUCUAAUACCGGAUAGGACUACGAAUCGCAUGGUUUGUGGUGGAAAGCUUUUGCGGUGUGGGAUGGGCCCGCGGCCUAUCAGCUUGUUGGUGGGGUGAUGGCCUACCAAGGCGACGACGGGUAGCCGGCCUGAGAGGGUGUCCGGCCACACUGGGACUGAGAUACGGCCCAGACUCCUACGGGAGGCAGCAGUGGGGAAUAUUGCACAAUGGGCGCAAGCCUGAUGCAGCGACGCCGCGUGAGGGAUGACGGCCUUCGGGUUCGUAACCUCUUUCAGUACCGACGAGCGCAAGUGACGGUAGGUACAGAAGAAGCACCGGCCAACUACGUGCCAGCAGCCGC